AAGAAUAUAUAAACGCGUAACUAAACAUCAAUAUUCAAACGUCUUCCACACAUCUGUACGCAGCCUCUGUGAAUUUCGACUCGCUGCAAU